AGCGAACGCUGGCGGCAGGCCUAACACAUGCAAGUCGAACGAAGUCUUCGGACUUAGUGGCGGACGGGAGAGUAACACGUGGGAACGUGCCCUUAGGUUCGGAAUAACUCAGGGAAACUUGUGCUAAUACCGAAUGUGCCCUUCGGGGGAAAGAUUUAUCGCCUUUAGAGCUGCCCGCGUCUGAUUAGCCAGUUUGUGAGGUAAAGGCUCACCAAGGCUACGAUCAGUAGUGGGUCUGAGAGGAUGACCAGCCACAUUGGGACUGAGACACGGCCCAAACUCCUACGGGAGGCAGCAGUGGGGAAUCUUGCGCAAUGGGCGAAAGCCUGACGCAGCCAUGCCGCGUGGAUGAUGAAGGUCUUAGGAUUGUAAAAUCCUUUCACCGGUGAAGAUAAUGACUGUAGCCGGAGAAGAAGCCCCGGCUAACUUCGUGCCAGCCGCCGCCGUAACAC
rnacentral:rRNA from 1 species